rnacentral:rRNA from 2 species
UGGAUGCCCUGGCAGUCAGAGGCGAUGAAGGGCGUACUAAUCUGCGAUAAGCGCCGGUAAGGUGAUAUGAACCGUUAUAACCGGCGAUACCCGAAUGGGGAAACCCAGUGUGAUUCGUCACACUAUCAUUAACUGAAUCCAUAGGUUAAUGAGGCGAACCGGGGGAACUGAAACAUCUAAGUACCCCGAGGAAAAGAAAUCAACCGAGAUUCCCCCAGUAGCGGCGAGCGAACGGGGAGGAGCCCAGAGCCUGAAUCAGCAUGUGUGUUAGUGGAAGCGUCUGGAAAGGCGCGCGAUACAGGGUGACAGCCCCGUACACAAAAGCGCAUGUGCUGUGAGCUCGAUGAGUAGGGCGGGACACGUGGUAUCCUGUCUGAAUAUGGGGGGACCAUCCUCCAAGGCUAAAUACUCCUGACUGACCGAUAGUGAACCAGUACCGUGAGGGAAAGGCGAAAAGAACCCCGGCGAGGGGAGUGAAAAAGAACCUGAAACCGU